rnacentral:rRNA from 1 species
CCUACGGGAGGCAGCAGUGGGGAAUAUUGCACAAUGGGGGAAACCCUGAUGCAGCGACGCCGCGUGAGCGAAGAAGUAUCUCGGUAUGUAAAGCUCUAUCAGCAGGGAAGAAAAUGACGGUACCUGCAUAAGAAGCCACGGCUAACUACGUGCCAGCAGCCGCGGUAAUACGGAGGUGGCAAGCGUUAUCCGGAUUUACUGGGUGUAAAGGGUGUGUAGGCGGGUUUGCAAGUCAGAUGUGAAAGGUACGGGCUUAACCCUGAAACUGCGUCUGAAACUACGGAUCUUGAGAGUGGGAGCGGUAAGCGGAAUGCCUGGUGUAGCGGUGAAAUGCGUAGAUAUCGGGAGGAACACCAGUGGCGAAGGCGGCUUACUGGACCAUAACUGACGUUGAGGCACGAAAGCGUGGGGAGCAAACAGGAUUAGAUACCCUAGUAGUC